CACUAACAACUAAUUAAUUGGCUUUAAAAAAAAAAAAAAAAAAAAAAAGGAAGGAAGGAGACAGAUUCAAGAUAUUAAACUGAAUUGAGCCCUCUGGUUUUAUAGACUAGAAAACUGGAGACCAAAAAGAAAGGAACUGCCUAAAGUCAUACAAAGCUAUGACAAGAACCCACAUCUACUGAUAUAACCAUUACCUUCAUCUUAAUACAGAGGUAUCAAACACACUGGACCUCAAAAUUUUCAAACUACAGCUGAACUAGAUUAAAAUGUCAACAUUUUAAUUCACAAUUAAUAAGAUCUGAUUUUUCUUUCUCAGAAUGCCAAAUAUGAAAAUGUUUAGAAUAAUUGCACAUUUAACCAAAAAUGGAUUUCUUGCUAUCUUGGGGAAGUAGUGGGGAGAAACAUUUGGAACACAAAGUUUUGCAAGGGUAAAUGAAUAAAUGUUGAAAAAUAUCUUUGCAUGUAUUUGGAAUAAUAAAAUACCUUUAAAAUAAAUUUUAAAAUAUUUUUAAAAGAUCACAAAAUACAACAUAGGAAAUAUUAAUGUGAAGAUUUCUUAAGUCAAUAUGCUGCCUACAGGGAGUCUUUGAGUUUGAUACCACUGCAUUAUAUAUGUAACUAAAAUUAUACACAUACAUACAUAUAUAUAUAUUUAAAUGAAAUUGAAGCCAUCUUCUUACAGUGGAAAGAACACUGGAUUUGGAAUCUAAAGGCAGAUAAAUGUGCCUCUUGAACAUUUGACCUUAGAAUCUGGAGACCAGGAUUCAAAUUAUGGCUUCAUAACAUAACUGUGGGAAAGUCACUUCACCUUUUUGAGCCAGUUUCUUAAUCUAUAAAAUGAGAAUAAUAAUCUUUACAUGACCAAUAUCUUAAGGUUGUUUCCAGAAAAGUACUAUCCAAAUAUGUCCUUAGAGGUAUAGUGACAAAAGUUAACAUUUAUAAUAUUUUUUUAAAAUUACAAAGGACUUUAAAUAUAUCAAUUUGAUAUGACUUAAUUAUAGUUAGUAAAGAUGAUAUAUAACUGGAACAGCAAAUAGGUCUCUCAUGUUCAGAGUAAAGGAUGUACAUCGGAGUGCUGCAAUAAUUUAUGUGAAACUAAAGGAUUUAAGCAUAUCCUGCAGAUCCUUACAUGGAGGUCUCAGGGAAGGAGAAUCACACAGAAAGAGAUAUGGAGAGAAUUCAAAUCAAUAAACAUUUAUUAAAUACCUACCAAGUACAAAAACUAUGCUAGGGUCUAGGGAUUGAAAGACAAAAAUGAAUUACUCCCUAGUUUCCAGGACAGAGUUUCUUAACCUUUUUUUUUUUUUUUUUUUUGCAUCCUGCGCCUUUUGGCAAUUUGGAGUUUACAGACUUCUCAGAAUUUUUUUUUUCUUAACUUAAAUUAAUUAAAAUGAAGGUGUCAUUUCCCCCCCAAAAAAAAAUUCUAGUCCCCCUGAAAUUAUCUAGUCAUCCCAGAUUAAGAACCUCUAUUCUUGGAACUUCCAUUAUACAAUUACACCCCAUCCUAAUAAAAUCGUGGUUCCACUGAUGUAUAAAAUAAUAAAAUACAUACAGGACACUCACAGGAACUACCAAGCCAUUUUAUAAAUAACAAUUUCUUCUGCUUAGUGUGGUAUGGGACUUGAAUAAAGAAAACCUGGGUUCCAGUACUAGCUUUGAUACAUACUAGCUGCGUGACCUUAGCCAAGUCAUUUCACCUAGGAGCUUGGUUUCCUCAUCUGUAAAACGGAAGUAACUUUCUAAAAAGGGUGGCAAAGUACAGAACUGUUUCGGAUCGGCCUUUGGCAGAAGUUUCCUCAGAAAGAACUCCCCACACCGAUGAGAUCCCCAGUUCCUGACUCCCAAAAGGGUAAAAAAAAAAAAAAAAAAAAAAAAAAAAAAAAAAAAAAAAGGAUAAUCCUUUCAUUCUACCUCAGGAGGCGAAUUUUAAAAAGCAUAAGGAAAACCUUAAAACACCAAAGGGGUGAGAUUAGGUUUGUUUUUACGCCUUCCCACAUCCCCCGGCCGCCCCGCCCCCGCUAGUUAAUCCUCCCUUACAGGGUCCACUACCAAAACCCCGCCCCACCCCAGGCCGGCGCCGACAUCCAAGCCCGGAAGAAGCCCUCACCAGCCCUCGGGCGGUUACCCGCCACCUCAAGGGAGGGAAACGUCACAAAGUCCGUCGCAGUGUUGGGCUCCCAGCCCGGAGACUGCCGGGCCGGGAAAAGGAACCCCAGACGUCGCCUCAGGAGAACAUUCCUCAGUCGAGUGAAGAGCGGCCCGUGGAGCCACACCACCAACCUCCACCCAUCCCCCA